rnacentral:rRNA from 1 species
AUCGAACGCUGGCGGCAGGCCUAACACAUGCAAGUCGAGCGAGCGGCGGACGGGUGAGUAAUGUAUGGGGACUGCCCGAUAGAGGGGGAUAACUACUGGAAACGGUAGCUAAUACCGCAUACUAUCGGAUAACCCAUAUGGGAUGAGCUGGUAGGUGAGGUAAUGGCUCACCUAGGCGACGAUCCCUAGCUGGUCCGAGAGGAUGAUCAGCAAAACGGGGAGUGAGACACGGCCCAGACUCCUACGGAGGCAGAAGAGGGGAAGAUUGGACAAUGGGUGCAAGCCGGAUGCAGCCAUGCCGCGUGUAGGAAGAAGUCACUAGGGUUGUAAAGUACUUUCAGACGGGAGGCGUUACCGACAGAGGAAGCACCGGCUAACUCCGUGCCAGCAGCCGCGGUAAUUC